AUCCUUUUGUAGUUCAUAAGCAUGAUGAUUGGGUUUUCACGCACAUGUGUGAGAUGUGCCACCGACAAAUCUAAUCUUGUGUCGUGUUGGCAAGUUACUCCUCUGACA